UACGAAGGGGGCGAGCGUUGUUCGGAUUUACUGGGCGUAAAGGGCGCGUAGGCGGCACGGCAAGUCGGGAGUGAAAGCCCGGGGCUCAACCCCGGAACGUCUUUCGAAACUGCCGAGCUAGAGUGCGGAAGGGGCAACUGGAAUUCCCAGUGUAGCGGUGAAAUGCGUAGAUAUUGGGAAGAACACCUGAGGCGAAGGCGGGUUGCUGGGCCGACACUGACGCUGAGGCGCGAAAGCCAGGGGAGCGAACGGG
rnacentral:rRNA from 1 species